rnacentral:rRNA from 1 species
GACGAACGCUGGCGGCGUGCCUAAUACAUGCAAGUAGGACGCAGUUGCGAACGGGUGAGUAACGCGUAGGUAACUACCGGUUAGAGGGGGAUAACUAUUGGAAACGAUAGCUAAUACCGCAUACUAGUAGAUGGACCUGCGUUGUAUUAGCUAGUAGGUAGGGUAAUGGCCUACCCAGGCAACGGUACAUAGCCUACCUGUGAGGGGGGUCGGCCACAACGGGACUUAGAACAGGCCCAGACUCCCAAGGGAGGCAGCAGGAGGGAAAUUUCGGCAAUGGGGGGAAACCUGAACGAGCAACGCCGCGGGAGUGAAGAAGGUUUUCGGAGCGUAAAGCUAUUUUGUUAAGGAAGCGGUACUUACCCAGAAAGGGACGGCUAACUACGUGCCAGCAGCCGCGGUAAUUC